rnacentral:rRNA from 1 species
AUUCCAGCUCCAAUAGCGUAUAUUUAAGUUGUUGCAGUUAAAAAGCUCGUAGUUGGAUUUCGGGCGGGGCCUGCCGGUCCGCCUUUGGUGUGCACUGGCAUGGGCUCGCCUCGCUGGCGGGGACGGGCUCCUGGGCUUAACUGUCCGGGACUCGGAGUCGCCGAGGUUACUUUGAGUAAAUUAGAGUGUUCAAAGCAGGCCUACGCUCUGAAUGCGUUAGCAUGGAAUAACACGAUAGGACUCUGGCCUAUCUUGUUGGUCUGUGGGACCGGAGUAAUGAUUAAGAGGGACGGUCGGGGGCAUUCGUAUUUCAUUGUCAGAGGUGAAAUUCUUGGAUUUAUGAAAGACGAACUUCUGCGAAAGCAUUUGCCAAGGAUGUUUUCAUCA